CAGCCCUUAUACUCUCCCAAAUUUAUUCUCCAUCAAUCACAACUAAGUUCAAAGGCAAAUCAAGUGAUUACAACAUAAGGAAUCACAUGAUAAUCAUAGAAUCGUAGAUUUCUCGUUGUUUCGAUUUUCGAAAGAAAGCUUCAUCUUGGAAUAACUUAAGUUGCAAAGUAUUAUUCAACUUUUGAGGUAGUCAUUCAUAAGGUAUUCAAGGACCCGGAAGACGCAAAUAGCUCUAUCAACGAGGUGCUGAUAGACAGGCCGGCGUGCCUCCGCAGUAAGACACUGAGAUCAGCGAUUGAGUGUCACACUCCACUCCUUCGGAGUUGCUGGUUGUGAGUCUAUAGGUACAGAUGCAUAUGUAUAUGUAUAGUUUUGGGGUAUGUCGGGGCCCUAUCCCGAUCUGUUGAUAUUGUGUUGCUCUUUUAGAGGCUUGCAGACCAGUUGUCAGUGUAUAUAUGUUUUGCAUGGCCUUGUCGGCCCCCUGUACAGUUGGCAUGACUAUAUAGUCUUGUUGGCCUUAGCUAUGUAUAUAUAUAUAUAUAGGUUGUUGUUGGGUUCUUCUGCGUGCAGGAUUAUACAUUUGGUUCUUGUUAGUGUCAUAUUGCAGCCUUGUUGGCCUACUAUUCAUAUUACAUGUCACAGAUGCCAUGGUUGGUUCGCUCGGGCCUUCGGGUGCCGAGUGCCGGCCACACUCCCCAAGGUUGG